rnacentral:rRNA from 1 species
GCAACGGAUAUCUAGGCUCUCGCAUCGGUGAAGAACGUAGCGAAAUGCGAUACUUGGUGUGAAUUGCAGAAUCCCGUGAACCAUCGAGUUUUCGAA